GUUCAAAUACGUGUAUAUUCAUAGUUAUGGUUGUAUGUUUGGUUGUUUAACAAUAUUAUUUUAUUAUCUGAAAUUCUGAAUAUAAUGUAAUGCGUUUUCUGAUUGGCUGACAUUGUUUUGUUUAUCAGCUCAUAGACAUAAUUUUGUCAUUUGACCGUGACGUCUUCAACGUUUUUUCAUGAUUUACUCCAGUUUAAAAUGAAAUUUAGAAUUAAAUUAUAA
rnacentral:lncRNA from 1 species